GAGCAUCAGCACUUCAAGUCCCUGCUGCUCCAGGCUGGGUCUUUGGGUUACAUGGGAUCCAGGUUUUGUGGGUCUAGAUUAUAAAAACAGAGUUCCAUAAGAUCACAGGAGGGUAUUUUCCUGAUUGUCCCUGUCUUUGCCUGCUGUUGUAGAUUCCCAUACACACCCUCUUAAAAGCCCCCACCCUGAAUCAUGUCUGCUCAGGAGCAUGACCACCUCCUCGUCCCAGGCUCCAGUUCCAGCUCUCUGUGCCAUGUCCAUUGCUGAGCCAGACCCAACUGUGGCCACCUCCGUCCCCUCACUGCAGAGGUGCUGGGCCAGUCCAGUCCCACUGGGCCACUUGCCCUGUGCAUUGAUGAUGUUGGCUUCCGGGGAUCUUUGGUGUAGCAAUACCCUAAUCUAAGCAAGGGUCAGGACCCUUCUCUGCCAGUGUUGAGGCACUUUCCUCCAAUGGAUUUCAAAAGGCAAAUUAUCUUGGUUCCUCCACUGGGCCAAAGGGAGAAUCCACUGUAAGGUACCAAUUGCCUGGAUGGCCCAGGUCCCACACAGAAGGGGGCUGAACAGGUUGAUCCGUAUCACUCAUUCCCUGCCCUGGUCCAAUCCUAGGGCUCGUGUCAGGGUCACAUGGGCAGCAGCGGCUGUGCACGGGAAUUGCUCCUGAAGGAUGAUGGGUAGGACCAGCAGUGAGCAGCAUUUCUAACGUAAAAACCUCCACGCUGUGCGUGUUCAUUCUGUGUCACGUGUUUCCGGCACAUCAUUCACUUAACUCUCACAACAGCUCUCUGCCAGAGACAUUGUGAUUCCUUUUUUCAGGCGUGGAAACUGAUAUUAAAAUUUAAGUAAUUUGCCUAAUGAGGUACAGCCACUAGAUGCCAGAGCUAGGAUUCAAACCUACGUCUUUCUGAGUCCAAAGUACCAUCAUGCUCAAGUUUACAUCACUCUUUUUUCUUUUUUUUUUUUGGUACCGGGGAUCGAACUCUGGUCCUUGCGCUUGCGCAGCAGGCGGUGAAACCACUGAGCUAAAUCCCCAGCGUUCACAUCACUCUUGACCAUGCUGGUUCAGCCAGUCCAGUUCCCUAGACCAGAAGACCACUUUGAGAGCUGAGUAGUUUUGUUUGGUCAUAGCUACAUUGACUUGCUUAUUAAAUCAACAGUGACAGAGCACUUACCCUGUACCUCACACUGUCUGCCAUGGUUAUGACACCCUGGUGACCAACUCACAGAGCUUCCAAUUGGGAAGGGGGCAACAUACAUGGAUGUGAAUUGAAGAAGAGGCUGACUGUACUGAUAGGCACUAAAGAAAACUUUCCUAAAGGACCCCUUGUCUCAUGGCCCUGGCCAGGGGGAAGUCAGAAAUCCUCUUCUAGUUCUGACUCUACUCUUUACUACCUUCCGAUUCCUCCCCUGGGCCCCAGUUCCCUCAUCAGUGUAAAGAAGGGGUCAUGUUUAGAUGGCUUCUAAGCUCUCUUCCAAUUCCAUCAUUUCCUGAAGCUAUAAUGAGGGCAAGAAUCUCUUGCAGGACGAACCCUAGGGCUUAGAUAUGAUGAGCCAGGAGCCACAGAGGUGUGGCAGCACUGGGAAAGAAGAAAGGUCAGGGUCUAGGAAAUCAAGUUUAGGGGCCAGAGACAACUAGAGGGCUCCAGGCAAGUUGGAACCUGGAAUCCAGCAGGUGAAAGCUUGAGGCCAUGGCACCUGGGGAAAGAAGUCCCUCACAGGACCUAGACCCUCAGGAACCCUGUUGGGGCAGUCUGGUGCCCAUGUACCUGGUUUUCUCCCAGCUCUGGCAAAUUGACAUUAAUAAAAGUCCGAAGUAAAGGGUUUGUGAUAUCCACUCCCUAGCCUGGGGAACCCAGCUUCAUAUCAUCACUGGGUCACAGACUCAGCUUUGCAUGGCCUUUAAUGAGUUAUUGGAAAAACCUAACCAGAGGGAAAUUGCAUUAUAUUACUACAGAGAAAGCCACACCCUCAGAUCAACUAAAUCGCUGGAACAGGAAUCUCCUUCCCAUUGGCAAGGUCCCAGCAAGGAAGGGUGGAAAUGAACACCAUAAAGCAGUGAUGGCUAACCUUUUAGAGCUUUCUUUUUGUUUUGUUUUGUUUCUUGGAGACAGGGUCUUGCUAUGUAGUUCAGGCUGGCCUUGAACUCACUAUGUAGCCCAAGCUGGCUUUGAACUCAUGGCAAUUCUCCUGUUUCACCCUCCCGAGUACUGGGGUACAGGCAUCCGCCACCCUGCCCAGCCUUUUUAGAGCUUUCAGUGAUGACAAACAGCCUGCUGCAGCCUGCAUGCCCUAGGUUCGCCACCACUGCCAUAAAGCAAAGAGGGACCUGGCUAGGCCUCCAGAUCAGCCUUGCAUCGUCCAUGACAAAUAUCUCAUUAUUGAUAGCACACUUCAGUUCUCUCACCAGCUGCUCUGGGGCGGCAAUGGAAGUUGUCUACCUGCCUCUGGGCCCUGCUUUUCCCACCAGCUACUCUAAUACAGCCCCUCUCAUGGCUUCAGUUAUGGUUCCUUCUCACCCACAUCUUCCCUUGCAUGGAAAAACUUACCUAGAUAUGUUGCAUGUUGGAAAAUGCUAUUUCAUUCUCCUCUUCAACCUCCAGCUCCCAGGCUCCCCUGGUUCCUGUUCAUGUCGAUCCCAUAGGACAGCCCAGCAGGGUCUCCAGCUCAACUCCCUUCUACUUACUACUGUUGCCUUCCUACAGAAUUGAAAUUGGAUGAGCAUCGAAGGAGAAAGAGGAAGAAAGAGAGAGACAGAGACAGACGGAGAUAGAGAUAGAGACAGAGAUGAAGAGACAGAGACAAAGAAAAAGAAAGGCCCACGCUAAGUCUGGCAUGGCUUAGCUGAGGCCUCCCUUCAGGUUCUCUCACAGGACUGAUCAAGGUGUCCACCCAGGCUUCCAGGCUUUUUGAGGCUCAGGAUCACUCAAGUUGUUGGGACAACUAAGAUCUUGUGGCUGUGGGCUGAGGCCCCUACAGCUACUCUUUAUAGCCACGGCACAGCAGGGCUGCUGUUUCUUCAAGGCCAGGUGAAGAGUGCCUCCAACACCUGCUUAUGCUGGGCCUGCUGGGACGGCCUCCCUCCCAACGGAUUAAGGACUUUAAUUGUACGUGGAAACUCUUCCCCUGCGCUAAAUCCUGUAACACAAGUACAGCGACCUACAUCACCUUUGCUGCAGCCUACUGGGUAGAAGCUCUUGCUUCUAGUCUUACAGGUUUCACCCACACUUGGGAGGGGAUUCUACAGAGGACUGGGCACCAAGGCACAGGAGUCACGGAGACCAUCUGAGAUAUCUGCCUACCACAAUAUUGUAUCAUGGAAUGAGAAGGAGACAAUAUAAAUCCAUAAUUUUACCAUUGAAGAGAACCAUUGUCAACAUUUUAGUUGACAUUUCCUUCUAGUCUUCUGACCAUAUUUCUUUUUGUAUUAUUAAAAUUAUGCAGUAUGUGUACUU
ensembl:lncRNA